rnacentral:rRNA from 1 species
AACGAACGCUGGCGGCGCGCCUAACACAUGCAAGUCGAACGCGAAAGGGAGCAAUCCUGAGUAAAGUGGCGCACGGGUGAGUAACACGUAGGUGAUCUACCUUUGUGACUGGAAUAACUAGCCGAAAGGUUAGCUAAUACUAGAUAGAGCGCAUAAGCUGUAAGGGUUUAUGCGGGAAAGGGGUGCUGUAGUAAUACAGCAUUCGCACUAAGAUGAGCCUGCGUCCCAUUAGCUAGUUGGUGAGGUAACGGCUCACCAAGGCGAUGAUGGGUAGCUGGUCUGAGAGGACGAUCAGCCACACUGGAACUGAAACACGGUCCAGACUCCUACGGGAGGCAGCAGUGGGGAAUCUUGCGCAAUGGACGAAAGUCUGACGCAGCGACGCCGCGUGGGUGAAGAAGGCCUC